GAUGAAGAACGUAGCGAAUUGCGAUAAGUAAUGUGAAUUGCAGAAUUACGUGAAUCAUCGAAUUUUUGAACGCAAAUUGCACUCUCUUCGGGGAGUAUGCCUGUUUGAGGGUCAGUAAAAAAAAAAUUAUCAUGAAUACUUUUUGAAUUCAUGGAAUUGGAUUCUUUCAAAGGUUUUUUUUCCUUUGAUGAUCUCAAAUUUUUUUGUCUAAAUUAGGCUAUAUUAAAUUGAACUAAAAAGAGCAAUUAUAUUCAAUAAAUAUUAUCUCGAAUUUUAGCGAUAUUUAUUUAGUCAAAUUAUGAUAUUUUAGCAAUGUAAAUAAAAAUGAUAAAAUGUCAUAAAAAUAUUUAACAUUGACCUCAAAUCAGGUAAGAAUACCCGCUGAACUUAAGCAUAUCAAUAAGCGGAGGA
rnacentral:misc_RNA from 1 species